AAGGAUAUUUAAUUGCAGUAAAAGCCUCUUCUUUAGCAAAAUCACUUUCUAUUGGAAAUUCAAAAAGUUUUUUGAAACAAAAACCAAAUAAAAGAGNNUNNGNUNNNUAUGUUAGNANNNNACUUUAAUUAGAACUAUAAAUUAUAUAUAAUUUAUAUUAUUUUUAAUUCUAAAAAUAAUAUCUAUAUCUUAGGAUUUCAAUUACUUAAUUAAGUAACAAUUUACUUAUUAAUUAACUUUUCACAAUAGAAGAAAAUCUUUUCUUCUAUUGNGAAAAGUUUAAUAGAACUUAAAUUAAAUUUGAGAUUUAAAUAUUUCCUAUCUUAUAUAUAUAUUUUUUUUUUAAUUUUUUAAAAAAUAAAAAAAGAUAAAUGAUAAANACNUUGCAUUUAUUUUUUUUUNNNAUUCUACUAGAAUAUUAAAAAAUAAAAAAGACUAAAUUCUUUUUGUUNNNUGUAAUU
rnacentral:misc_RNA from 1 species